GAAAUGCGAUAAGUAAUGUGAAUUGCAGAAUUCCGUGAAUCAUCGAAUCUUUGAACGCACAUUGCGCCCUCUGGUAUUCCGGGGGGCAUGCCUGUCCGAGUGUCAUUGCGAACCCCUCAAGCACGGCUUGUGUGAUGGGCCCUCCCGCGUCUUGGUCGUCAAGACGGGCCCGAAAUGCAGUGGCGGCUUCGCGGUUAUCCGAUCAGCCAGAGCGUAUGGGGACUUUCUCUCUGUCACACGCCCGCGGCGCGGACCGACGCCUGUCGACCUUUAUUCAUCUUUUUCUCGGUUGACCUCGGAUCAGGUAGGGAUACCCGCUGAACUUAAGC
rnacentral:misc_RNA from 1 species